AAAACCGCCCUUUUCAGGGCGACAAAAAUAUUUCAUAAAGAGUUUU
rfam:Lutzomyia longipalpis Contig11730, whole genome shotgun sequence.